rnacentral:misc_RNA from 1 species
UACGUAGGCGGCAAGCGGUGUCCGGAAUUAUUGGGCCUAAAGCGCGCGCAGGCGGUCCCUUAAGUCUGAUGUGAAAGCCCACGGCUCAACCGUUGAGGGUCAUAGGAAACUGAGGGACUUGAGUGCAGAAGAGGAAAGUGGAAUUCCACGUGUAGCGGUGAAAUGCGUAGAGAUGUGGAGGAACACCAGUGGCGAAGGCGACUUUCUGGUCUGUAACUGACGCUGAGGCGCGAAAGCGUGGGGAGCAAACCGG